UACACAUGCAGUCGACGAAGGCUUCGGCCUUAGUGGCGCACGGGUGCGUAACGCGUGGGAAUCUGCCUUGGGGUUCGGAAUAACUCAGAGAAAUUUGAGCUAAUACCGGAUGAUGUCGAAAGACCAAAGAUUUAUCGCCCUGAGAUGAGCCCGCGUAGGAUUAGCUAGUUGGUGAGGUAAAGGCUCACCAAGGCGACGAUCCUUAGCUGGUCUGAGAGGAUGAUCAGCCACACUGGGACUGAGACACGGCCCAGACUCCUACGGGAGGCAGCAGUGGGGAAUAUUGGACAAUGGGCGAAAGCCUGAUCCAGCAAUGCCGCGUGAGUGAUGAAGGCCUUAGGGUUGUAAAGCUCUUUUACCCGGGAUGAUAAUGACAGUACCGGGAGAAUAAGCCCCGGCUAACUCCGUGCCAGCAGCCGCGGUAAUACGGAGGGGGCUAGCGUUAUUCGGAAUUACUGGGCGUAAAGCGCACGUAGGCGGCUUUGUAAGUCAGAGGUGAAAGCCUGGAGCUCAACUCCAGAACUGCCUUUGAGACUGCAUCGCUUGAAUCCAGGAGAGGUGAGUGGAAUUCCGAGUGUAGAGGUGAA
rnacentral:rRNA from 1 species